GUGUAUUUCACCAGGGAAGAGUGGGCUCUGCUGGACCCUACAGGGGUGUCAUGCAGGAGAACUAGGUGCUCCAUGCAUAUAAUGAUGCCUGGAGAUGGCCCAUAAUUUACACACUGACAGAAGCAGACUUGGGGUUUUAUUACACUGCUGAAGAAUAAAGUUUAUCUAAUAUUUGUGUAUAUCUCAGACACUUGAAUGUGUGCCCACGUCUGUUGCAAUAGAUGACACUCUAGAUAGGUUGUAAUCUCUGCUCCUUUGUUUUCUUUUAGUUUAUGUCAACUAUAACAUUUUAUUGUGCUCACACAUGGAAAAAAUAUUGCAAAUUUGAUUUACAGCCUUAUUAAUGCUCCUUGUUGGACUUUGGUAAACAGUCAUGGGUAUUUUUAUGACCUUCAUUACUGUGGUAUCUGUGCACCUCACAAUCAUAGAAUCAUAGAACUGGAAGGGACCUCCAGAGGUCAUAUAGUCCAGUCGCCUGAACUCAAGGCAGGGCUAAGUAUUAUCUAGACCAUCCCUGACAUGUGUUUGUCCAACCUGCUCUUAAAAAUCCUCAAUGAUGGAGAUUCCACAACAGCCAUAGGCAAUUUAUUCCAGUGCUUAACCACUCUGACAGGAAUUUUUUCCUAAUGUCCAACCUAAACCGCCCUGGCAGCAAUUUAAGCCGAUUGCUUCUUGUCCUCUCCUCAGAGGUUAAGAAGAGCCAUUCUUCUCCCUGCUCCUUGCAACAAUGUUUUAUGUACUUGAAAACUGUUAUCAUGUCCCCUCUCAGUCUUCUCUUCUCCAGACUAAACAAACCCAUUUUUUUUUCAAUCUUCGCUCAUAGGUCAUGUUUUCUAGAGCUUGAAUCAUUUUUUUGCUCUUCUCUGGACUUUCUCCACAAUCUUUAACAGUUUUAUCCUCACAAGUCCCCUCAGAGGUAGAGACGUGCUAAUAUCCCCAUUUUACAGAUAGCCUCUCUGUGCAUCAGUUCCCUAAGGCCCAGCUCCUCAAAGGUAUUUAGGUACUUACCUCCCAUUAAAAUCAAUGGUACUUAGGUGCUUAUUUACCUUUGAGGAUCUGAGCCUUAAGUGGCUUACCCAAGGUCUGUGAUGGAGCAGGGAACCUGGGUCUCCCAAGUCCUAUGCUAGCACCUUAACCACUGCACCCUCGUUUCUCUUUUAUGUUUCAUCCUAAUCUGUGACUCUCCAUACUUUCAUUGGCUGUCGUUAAUGUAAUAUUCUUCUAAACAAGAUUGUAGUAGCGCAGUGCACUGAAGUAACUGCCACCUCUUUUUUUAACACACACUCUGCGCUGAUGAUUUCUACAGAGAUCCUCAGCGUUGUCUUUUGCAGCAUGAAGAAGGAAAAAGAAUGGAAGGUGCUGACCAUGGACAACCCGAGCACGCGCAUCCUCUCGUCAUGCUGCAAGAUGUCUGACAUCGUGGACGAAGGCAUCACGCUUGUGGAAGAUAUUCAUAAGUGCUGGGAGCCAAUCCCCAGCCUGGAGGCCAUCUACCUGCUCAGCCCUGUGGAGAAAGUGUACUCCCUCGACGGGCCACAGACCUUCCACAAAUGGUUCAGCCCCUACAGCUCCUUGGAAAAGAACAAGCAGCUGGAGAUGAUGGCAGAGCAGAUUGCCACAUGGUGUGAAACCCUGGAGGAGUAUCCAGCCAUCCGCUACCGGAAGUGGUGUGCCCGGGGGGAGGGGUACCCGUCCAUCCACUACAGGAAGUGAGUGUGCCGGGGGAAGGGGUGUGACGAGGUGGGAAUGUUCUUAAUGUUUUCUUUGAAUACUGCGUGCGUGCCUGUGACCCAGCAGGGAGAGGGGAGUAUUGACCUGGGAAGGUUGCAGGGGAGUUUUGCUGGGACUGUCUGCAUUGGGGAUGGGAGACUUUCCUUGAGGCCAGAUACCUGAACAUAAAUAUAUCAGAGGGAUUAAUAUUAGGGAGGGAGUGGAAUUAUUUAAGCUUAAUACAAAUGUGGACACAAGAAUAAAUGGGUAUAAACUGGACACUAGGAAGCUUAGACUUGAAAUUAGACGAAGGUUUCUAACCAUUAGAGGCGUGAAGUUCUGGAACAGCCUUCCAGGGGGAGUAGUGGAGGCAAAAGACAUAUCUGGCUUUAAGAGUAGGCUUGAUAAGUUUAUGGAGGGGAUGAUAUGAUGGGCUAGCCUAAUUUUGGCAAUUAAUUUGGCAACUGAUCUUUGAUUAUCAGCAGGUAAGUAUGCCCAGUGGUCUGUGAUGGGAUGUUAGAUGGGAUGAGAUCUGAGUUACUACAGAGAAUUCUUUCCUGGGUGCUGGCUGAGUCUUGCUCACAUGCUCAGGGUUUAGCUGAUCGCCAUAUUUGGAGUUGGGAAGGAAUUUUCCUCCAGGGCAGAUUGGAAGAGGCCCUGGAGGUUUUUCGCCUUCCUCUGCAGCAUGGGGCACGGGUAACUUGCUGGAGGAUUCUCUGCAGCUUGAAGUCUUCAAACCACAAUUUGAGGACUUCAAUAACUCAGACAUACGUUAGGGGUUUGUUAUAGAAGUGGAUGGGUGAGAUUCUGUGGCUUGCAUUGUGCAGGAGGUCAGACUAGAUAAUCAUAAUGGUCCCUUCUGACCUUAAAGUCUAUGAGAAACAGAAGGGGGGUUAGAACCAGGUGACACCUUUGCCUGGGAAACUGGACAAAGGCUGGGGGAGGAGCCGGGGGAGGCUGGGUGAGAUGGCUGGAGGGAGUUUCAAUUUGGAGCUGGCUGGAAAGUGGAGGGGAGCCUAGCUGGGGCUCUGGCCUCCCUGGCGCCCCCAAGAUGGACCUAUCUAAAGGGGGUCCUGUUGUCUGUAUUGGCAAGACCUGUCUUGGACUGUGUUCCUGUCAUCUAAGUAAAUCUUCUGUUUUACUGGCUGGCUGAGAGUCAUGGUGAGUCGCAGGAAGUCGGGGGUGCAGGGCCUUGUCUCCCCCACACUGUGACAAGGGGCACCCAGCCAUGUGCUUCAGGAAGUGUGUGUGCCCGGGGGAAGGGGUAUCCAGCUAUCCCCUAUAGGAAGGACCAUGAAGAUAACUUCCACCUGGCACACGCUGUGCUGGCCAAACUCAAGGCAUUCAAAGUAUACAAACCCAACAUAGGAGAGGUGAGCGAGC